rnacentral:rRNA from 1 species
GAUGAACGCUGGCGGCGUGCUUAACACAUGCAAGUCGAACGAUGAAGCCCAGCUUGCUGGGUGGAUUAGUGGCGAACGGGUGAGUAACACGUGAGUAACCUGCCCUUAACUCUGGGAUAAGCCUGGGAAACUGGGUCUAAUACCGGAUAGGAGCGCCUACCGCAUGGUGGGUGUUGGAAAGAUUUAUCGGUUUUGGAUGGACUCGCGGCCCAUCAGCUUGUUGGUGAGGUAAUGGCUCACCAAGGCGACGACGGGUAGCCGGCCUGAGAGGGUGACCGGCCACACUGGGACUGAGACACGGCCCAGACUCCUACGGGAGGCAGCAGUGGGGAAUAUUGCACAAUGGGCGAAAGCCUGAUGCAGCGACGCCGCGUGAGGGAUGACGGCCUUCGGGUUGUAAACCUCUUUCAGUAGGGAAGAAGCGAAAGUGACGGUACCUGCAGAAGAAGCACCGGCUAACUACGUG